AUAAAGUUCCUUUGGGAAAGAAGUACUACUUGUCAUCAAAAUGGAUAAAAGGAGAUGUAUCUAGAUGUAUUUUAGUUCUAGAUACGUCCCUUUUUAUCCAUUUUGAUGACAAGUAUUUUCGGACGGAGGGAGCUUAUA
rnacentral:pre_miRNA from 1 species